rnacentral:rRNA from 1 species
GACGAACGCUGGCGGCGUGCUUAACACAUGCAAGUCGAACGGAAAGGCCCUGCUUUUGUGGGGUGCUCGAGUGGCGAACGGGUGAGUAACACGUGAGUAACCUGCCCUUGACUUUGGGAUAACUUCAGGAAACUGGGGCUAAUACCGGAUAGGAGCUCCUGCUGCAUGGUGGGGGUUGGAAAGUUUCGGCGGUUGGGGAUGGACUCGCGGCUUAUCAGCUUGUUGGUGGGGUAGUGGCUUACCAAGGCUUUGACGGGUAGCCGGCCUGAGAGGGUGACCGGCCACAUUGGGACUGAGAUACGGCCCAGACUCCUACGGGAGGCAGCAGUGGGGAAUAUUGCACAAUGGGCGGAAGCCUGAUGCAGCAACGCCGCGUGCGGGAUGACGGCCUUCGGGUUGUAAACCGCUUUCGCCUGUGACGAAGCGUGAGUGACGGUAAUGGGUAAAGAAGCACUGGCUAACUACGUGCCAGCAGCCGCGGUGAUACGUAGGGUGCGAGCGUUGUCCGGAUUUAUUGGGCGUAAAGGGCUCGUAGGUGGUUGAUCGCGUCGGAAGUGUAAUCUUGGGGCUUAACCCUGAGCGUGCCUUCGAUACGGGUUGACUUGAGGAAGGUAGGGGAGAAUGGGAUUCCUGGUGGAGCGGUGGAAUGCGCAGAUAUCAGGAGGAACACCAGUGGCGAAGGCGGUUCUCUGGGCCUUUCCUGACGCUGAGGAGCGAAAGCGUGGGGAGCGAACAGGCUUAGAUACCCUGGUAGUCCACGCUGUAAACGGUGGGUACUAGGUGUGGGGUCCAUUCCACGGGUUCCGUGCCGUAGCUAACGCUUUAAGUACCCCGCCUGGGGAGUACGGCCGCAAGGCUAAAACUCAAAGGAAUUGACGGGGCCCCGCACAAGCGGCGGAGCAUGCGGAUUAAUUCGAUGCAACGCGUAGAACCUUACCUGGGUUUGACAUGGAUCGGGAGUGCUCAGAGAUGGGUGUGCCUCUUUUGGGGUCGGUUCACAGGUGGUGCAUGGCUGUCGUCAGCUCGUGUCGUGAGAUGUUGGGUUAAGUCCCGCAACGAGCGCAACCCUUGUUCACUGUUGCCAGCACGUUAUGGUGGGGACUCAGUGGAGACCGCCGGGGUCAACUCGGAGGAAGGUGGGGAUGACGUCAAGUCAUCAUGCCCCUUAUGUCCAGGGCUUCACGCAUGCUACAAUGGCUGGUACAGAGAGUGGCGAGCCUGUGAGGGUGAGCGAAUCUCGGAAAGCCGGUCUCAGUUCGGAUUGGGGUCUGCAACUCGACCUCAUGAAGUCGGAGUCGCUAGUAAUCGCAGAUCAGCAACGCUGCGGUGAAUACGUUCCCGGG